rnacentral:rRNA from 1 species
UGGGGAAUUUUGGACAAUGGGCGCAAGCCUGAUCCAGCCAUGCCGCGUGCGGGAAGAAGGCCUUCGGGUCGUAAACCUCUUUUCUCAGGGAAGAUCCCAGACGGUACCUGAGGAAUAAGCCACGGCUAACUACGUGCCAGCAGCCGCGGUAAUACGUAGGUGGCAAGCGUUGUCCGGAUUUACUGGGCGUAAAGAGCGCGCAGGCGGCUGGUCAAGUCCGACGUGAAAUCUCCCGGCUUAACUGGGAAACUGCUUCGGAAACUGAUCGGCUUGAAGGUGGGAGAGGGUAGUGGAAUUCCCGGUGUAGUGGUGAAAUGCGUAGAUAUCGGGAGGAACACCAGUGGCGAAGGCGACUACCUGGCCCAUUCUUGACGCUGAGGCGCGAAAGCUAGGGGAGCGAA